rnacentral:lncRNA from 1 species
AACUAGAGGCUCUUUAGAGCCUGUGUCGCUCACCUUGGUCUAUGUGCAUACAUGUAUUAAACAAAGGACACAGAUGGAUUCAUGACAAAAUUGUGUUUUGAUGAUGGUGAUGUGUUUGUAGAUCUUACUUUACUGAACAUUCUUGCUACUUACAAUUUUCUCUAUCUAUAAUAAACUUGGCCCUUUAGUUACACAGAGGAAAAUAUUUUGUAAAAAUUUACAAAAAUUUAUAAAAUUAAUGAAAAUUGUUAAAAAAUGACUAUAAAGGGCAAUAACUCUUUGAGGGGGUCAACUGACCAUUUAGGUCAUGUUGACUUAUUUGUAGAUCUUACUUUGCUGAAUAUAUUGCUGUUGAUAGUUUAUCUCUAUCUAUACUAAUAUUCAAGAUAAUAACC